AUUGAACGCUGGCGGCAUGCCUUACACAUGCAAGUCGAACGGUAACGCGGGGCAACCUGGCGACGAGUGGCGAACGGGUGAGUAAUGCAUCGGAACGUGCCCAGUUGUGGGGGAUAACUGCUCGAAAGAGCAGCUAAUACCGCAUACGACCUGAGGGUGAAAGCGGGGGAUCGCAAGACCUCGCGCAAUUGGAGCGGCCGCUGUCGGAUUAGCUAGUUGGUGGGGUAAAGGCCCACCAAGGCGACGAUCCGUAGCUGGUCUGAGAGGACGACCAGCCACACGGGGAAUGAGAAACGGCCCAGACUCCUACGGGAGGCAGCAGUGGGGAAUUUUGGACAAUGGACGCAAGUCUGAUCCAGCCAUGCCGCGUGCGGGAAGAAGGCCUUCGGGUUGUAAACCGCUUUUGUCAGGGAAGAAAUCUUCUGGGUUAAUACCUCGGGAGGAUGACGGUACCUGAAGAAUAAGCACCGGCUAACUACGUGCCAGCCGCCGCGGUAAAAC
rnacentral:rRNA from 1 species